UCUUCUUCUCCCCAUGCCCCACCGCUCCUCUCUCUGUUUCUCGAGAAAUAGAGAGCGUGGGAGGCGGUGGGAUAAAACCGAAUUUUUUUUUUUUUUUGUAACUUAACAGUUUAGUCCUUGAAAUUUCUAUUUUUACAUAUAGGUCCUCCAAUUUACAUAUAAAUCUUUAUUAAUAAAUUUUUAAAAGUGAGGGAUAUUACACUCUCCCC
rnacentral:lncRNA from 1 species